rnacentral:rRNA from 1 species
AGUGAACGCUGGCGGCGUGCCUAAUACAUGCAAGUCGAACGGAGUGUCCCACGGGUGAGUAAUGUAUAUCUAAUCUUCCCUCCACUAGAGGACAACAGUUUGAACCGGCUGCUACUACUCUAUAGUGUAGGAUGAGGCUAUAGUGUAUCAGCUAGGUGGUGCGGUAAUGGCUCACCAAGGCUAUGACGCAUAACUGGUCUGAGAGGAUGAGCAGUCACACUGGAACGGAGACACGGUACAGACUCAUACGGGAGGCAGCAGGAGGGAAUAGUGCGCAAUGGGGGAAACCCUGAAGCAGCAACGCCGCGUGGAGGAUGACACGUGUCGGAGCGUAAACUCCUGUUGGUAGGGAAGCGGUACCUAACGAAUAAGCACCGGCUAACUCCGUGCCAGCAGCCGCGGUAAUUC